UUUUAUUAGGUGUGAAAGGCUAGUCAAUUUUUAUGAUAUCUGGAUAAGAUUAAAUGUAUUUAGUACAGGCUUAAAGCUGAUGAGCCCCCUGUUAAGGGGGGGCUCAAAAAGUAUAUUAAUAUUAAUAAUUUAUUUAGGAUAAUUCUAUAAUAACUACUGUGUGUUUAUAAUUAUUUAUUUACUGAUCUGGUUUUUUUUUCUAGAAAAUUCUAAUUUCUUAAAUUUUUCAUAAUGUUAAAAUAAGUAUUAUUAAUAAUUUAAAUAUAGGAACUCGGCAAACUACUACUCAACUGUUUAUCAAAAACAUAGUUUUAUGAAAAUAUAUAAAAUGAAUUCUGCCCAAUGAUUAGUUUAAUGGCCGCAGUACUUUAACUGUGCUAAGGUAGCAUAAUAAUUUGGCUUUUAAUUAAGGUCUGGUAUGAAAGGAUUUUAUGGGUAAUAACUGUCUUUAUUUAACUUUUAAAAAUUUACUUAAAAGGUGAAAAUUCCUUUAAUAUUAAAAUAGACGAGAAGACCCUAGGAGUUUUCAUUUUGUUGGGGCGACAUUUCAGUAGAUAACCUAAGAAAAAAAAUUUGA
rnacentral:rRNA from 1 species